rnacentral:miRNA from 2 species
UGGCUCAGUUCAGCAGGAACUG